GAUGAACGCUGGCGGCGUGCCUAAUACAUGCAAGUCGAGCGAACGGACGAGAAGCUUUCUUCUCUGAUGUUAGCGUCGGACGGGUGAGUAACACGUGGAUAACCUACCUAUAAGACUGGGAUAACUUCGGGAAACCGGAGCUAAUACCGGAUAAUAUUUUGAACCGCAUGGUUCAAAAGUGAAAGACGGUCUUGCUGUCACUUAUAGAUGGAUCCGCGCUGCAUUAGCUAGUUGGUAAGGUAACGGCUUACCAAGGCAACGAUGCAUAGCCGACCUGAGAGGGUGAUCGGCCACACUGGAACUGAGACACGGUCCAGACUCCUACGGGAGGCAGCAGUAGGGAAUCUUCCGCAAUGGGCGAAAGCCUGACGGAGCAACGCCGCGUGAGUGAUGAAGGUCUUCGGAUCGUAAAACUCUGUUAUUAGGGAAGAACAUAUGUGUAAGUAACUGUGCACAUCUUGACGGUACCUAAUCAGAAAGCCACGGCUAACUACGUG
rnacentral:rRNA from 1 species